CUACGAUUCAAACAAUAAAUGUACAAAAUGGUUCACAUCAUUUCGUUUGCAGGAAUACAGAUAAAUAAACAUUUAUAAACUAUCAUAUAGAAUAGGCCGCAUUUGUAUGAACGAAAGUGGUGAAUUUUUGUAUAACAAUUAAUAUAUUUAAAAAUAAAUUCUCAGCUUCCUUGUACUUUAUGUAUACAACAAUCAACUCAGAAUUACAGAUACAGAACUGUAUAUGUAUACAUGUUUAUUAAAUAGUCGUAAUGUGCAAUGCACGAAUAUGCAUACUUAUUGCGUCAAUGUAUCAUUAAUAAUGCAUACGUAAAUAUGAAUUGCUAAAAAAACUGUAGUAAAAUACAUUUCCUAUUACGUUCUACAAUUUAAAUCAAGAAUUCAUGAACGUUUGAAGAUGCAUUACUAAAUCCGCGGUUACCGUAAAUUGAUUUCUGUAUCACCAUGGAGUUGAAGAGCUGUUUACGUUUGCUUUCGAGGCGAAACCAUCAGCAUUGAAGCGAUGUUAAAAUGCAAAAUACGUGCAGUGGGAUCAGUGAAAUCUUAUCAUAAUGAUAAUAUUGAACGAUAAAUAGAUCAGGCUUGCUAAAUACUUUACUGUUUCAUCGAUAUAUUCGUAGAUAUACAGAAUGAAGUCGGACGAAAUAGAAUCCCCGCAGUCAUCGAAGUUUAAAAUUAAUGUAGCGGGGAAAAAGAGAAAACUCGGAGACAAGAAUGUGACCUCGAUUAUUUUCCAACAACGACAGAACGUUCGCAUUAUACACGACGAUGUUGAUGUAACACCGAAGUUGUUAACCCAUCCUACAUACAGCUCGAUCGACGAGAAGCAAAUAACCGCGUUUGAAACGAUCGGACUGUCUCAAACUGGCAGUGUUGGUCAACUGUCUGUCAUUUCUGGUAUAAGUACUAUAAAAAGAAGCUCGUCCACGAUUGUUAGGACGUCUUCACUUCCGUCUGCUUCGGACGAAGGAUUGUUCGAAAGUCUACUGUCCACGCAGGCGGAAGACUCCGACGUUGACCUCGAUGACGAAGACAGAGCUCCAUCUCAAUUUUAUCUACCUAGCGUCGAUCCGAAUAUUUUUUUUACUCGACCGGAAUCGGUGACUAUUACUCUGAAAGAGACAGAAACUUACUUUAUUUUCGAGAUGCAACCGCGAACCGGUGACUUGCGAACACUGGAAGGCCUAGCGAUCAAAGAGGAGAACGAGGGCUAUGAAUAUAAAACGAUCGGGCCCGGUUCGAAUAGGAAAUUAUUGGAAGCCGAAACUCAAACGAUACAAGUGCUCACUAGAUCUCGUGGAACGUACCUGAGCAGGCGGAGACGUAGAAAUCAGGGCAUGAUCGUGAAUAAUUGGGUGAUGUACGAUACUUACGAAAAUCUUGAACUGCUGCUGGAGAGAAAUGGUAUACUUGUAGCGCACAGGAAACAGUCUAUAGACAAAAUGCUACAAGCAGAGAACUUGAAGUCCAGGUUACCGGUACAGACAAAGAGGAACGAAAAGACGAUGGAAGAGGAGCAGAUACGCCUGUUCUCUACCGACAAUUUCCGGAACGCGAUGCGAAUAAUGGAACGCAUAAUAUCGAACAACAUUUGCAUCAAAGCGCAGAAACGCUUCACUGGUCUGAUUAAACAAGAUCCUUGCAGUUUCGACUUAGAGUUCACGUACAGUCUGGACAUCCUUUGGCUCCACGAAUGCUCAAUGGCUUCCGGAAGGCCGGUGUCUACGUUCCGUUGGAAUUACGUUAAUAACAGCAUUUUAGCCGUCGCGUACGGUGCGCAGACGAAUUCGGAAACGAAGAACGGCUUGGUCUUGCUAUGGUGCGCGAAGAAUCCCUCGGUACCGGCUCGUGUGUACAAUUUCAAUAGUCCAGUGUCGGAUCUCGACUGGAGUCGGGACAAACCCAAUCUUCUCGCGAUCGGCUUGUACAACGGCGAGAUCCAGGUGAUCGACGUGAGCCGUAUAGAUAUAAAUGUCGUACGCCGAAGUAAAAAGUCUCCCUCGAGUUCCCCGCACUGGCAGGUUCAAUGGUGGGCGGGCGACGAACAGUUCGAGUAUCAAGAGCAAAUUUAUACGUGUGACCAGGACGGCUGCAUAUUAUGCUACCGUUACGUCGAGGAUUUUACAGCGAUGACGAUUAUGAAGGUGUUCAGGAUCGAGGGUACGCUACCUGGCGUCACCAGGACCGUUCAAUGCAAUCUUUACGACAUAUCAAUCAACCGUAGUCCCGGAGCACUGGUGCUUUGCAAACAUCCAACACUGAGCUCUAUCUAUUUCGUCGGCUCGAACGAGGGUUGCAUAUACAAGUGUUCAACCAAUUAUUUGUACCAGCAUAUAGACAGUUUCCUGGCACACGACGGGCCGAUGUACUCGAUGAUGUUCUCGCCGUUCUGCCCGAAAAUAUUCCUCACGUCCGGCGCCGAUUGGUGCAUACGAAUUUGGGCAGAAGGAUUAACGGAACCGUUGAUUACUUUGUCGACGGUGAUGGCCUGCGUCCGAUACGCGGUGUGGUCACCUGUUCAUUCGACCAUUAUUGCGAGCAUUGUGAACAACGAGAUUUGUAUAUGGGAUAUCAGACGAAAAAUUCAUAAACCAGCAUCAGUAACGAUUUCGCCGAACAGUGCUAGGUUUGUCAUGGUCGAUUUCACGGCGAAUGGUAACCAGCUAGUAGUCGCGGACGUGGAGGGUGUUGUAUACGUGUAUAAUCUUGAGGGAAUGCCGUUUCCGCCGUACAAUCAGGAACAGGUGCUAGUCGAGUCGAUCGAGAAAGCUUUGAUUACGCGGCCGACACUCCUGAAGAACUUGAAGAAGAUCGGCCCGCCGUUCGAUGAGUAAAAUGAAACGAGGAUCUUAAUCCCGUCACAACUUUGUCUUUACCUAGGUACUCAUAUACAAGUACAUUGUCAUCAUCAUAAAACAAGUAUUUUCAAUAAUCUAUGGAACGCUGGAAUGCCAUGUAGAGUAUGCGUUCACUUGAGAAUUCAAAGACAGUUACAACUGAGAUCAGACAAUGCUUUGACGAGAUUUAAACGGCUGAUGAGUCCAACAUUUAUUAUGUGCUUUAAAUCUUCGGAUCCUCGCUGACGUCGUUAGCGGCUCAUCACAGUUUAAACUUCUUUAUCGACGGUAAAGCCUCGGGCAAAAUCCAGCACGUGGGGACCCCUCACGGGUACCGGAAGCGAAGAGAGUUGUAGCUCGAAGGGCCCUCGCGUGAUUCGUGCGAAGCAAGGAAAGCAAAGCAACCAUUUCGAUUCAGGAUGGGACGCCGGGCCUACUGCGGGACCUGGUAGGCAGGCAAGUCGGCACGGAUGGCUGGCUGGCUUGCUUGGAGGAGUUGCAGGAGAGUGCCAUGGUAGAGGGGCUUCCCUUGGCUGCUGCCGCUUGCGGGCACGAACCGCGCUACCGCCGUCAGCAGACAGUCUUAUUACGCCCGCACUCAACUACGCGAACUAAGUACUCUCCUUAGGCCGGUCAAACGUCGAAUAACGACCGCCGGAUCCGGCUGACGCGUGAAUCCGGGACGAAUACCUCGAACGGUGUUCCUUUUGUGCCAAGGAACGGAAUCCUUCUGGUAUAUUCAAUGGUACUACGAUACUACGCGUAUUUUUUCAGUAGGCGACUCGCGUUUUCGAGUUGAUGAGACUCUGUCCCCGAAAUCGGUUCGAGCGAAGAGGCUUUGGGUUCGAUUUGCUCGGAGAGGACUUACUGCCCGGUUAGAGGUUACCGCACUCGAUUCGAGCAUGCAUUUACUGGGUUCCGACGCUCGUCGAUUGUUGACGUGCACGGAGAUGCGGUCAGUGUGAGGACUGCUUAAUAGCGAGGAACAUGUGCAACCAGGGAAUAGUGGCGAGGCCGAUGUUGCCGGAGCACGAGCUACACUGUGACCACUCUGUUCUCGACGAACCCUAACUGAUUCCACCGCUCGAGUUCGUUUCACCAGCUGACGACCGCUUCAUGUAUACCGGAGUCUGGAAAUCGUCGCAGUGAAUGUUGUCGCGCCGAAAAUUUGCGUGGUAAUCGCGGGACGUUCGUGUCGGAACGGUAAAAGUGUUGGAUCGAUUUUACGCGCACGGUGUAUAAACUAAGUUUCUUUCGGAAGAAGGCGAGGUGUGUCCACGAAAUUACACGUCUUCACGUACAUUUGGUACGCUAUGAACAUCGAGGUCCUUGGAUGCAACGGGUGGUUCGCAAGAGGAGAAAAGGGUAG